GGCGCACCAGGGGCCUGGCGACAAGACGACACGCCGCGGAAAAGCCACUGAGGACACGAGAAGAAGGCAGCCAUCCCCAAGCAGGAAGAGACACUCCACAGGAACUGAACUUGCCACCACCCUGAUCUCGAACUUCUAGUUUCCGUAACUAUGAGACAGAGGUAUUGAUUCUCCAAUGUUGCCUCUGCUCUGUGGAAAAGAACUUCAGGGACCCAAGAAUAUAGAACCUCAC
rnacentral:lncRNA from 1 species